UUUGGUUCAAGGAUGUGCAUACGUUUCGAAUAAAAAUAGGUUGAAAACAUUUAAACAAAUGAUUGAUUAUAUAUCCAUAAUCGAUCACUUAUUUAAAUUUAAUCUAAAUCAAUGACUAAAUGCAAUGUAGGUAGUAAGUAUGUAGACUGUCAGCUUGUUUGUACUACGGAUAUUAAACAUAUGAGAGGAUUCAACUUUAUAUCAACUCACAAUAGUACUUCGACCUAAUAAUAAACAAUAUAAUCAAAAUUAAUUAAAUAAUGUUUCGAUACUAUCUUCGAUAAAUAAACAAGAACAUACGGAUAUAUGAUAUCAAUAAUACAGCUAGUAGAUAUAAAUAGAUAAUAUUAGUACAAGGUAGGUAUAUGUACACAUGUAUAUAGCAUAUAUAGGUAGUACAUAUAUAUAAGUAAUUGUAUCAAAUUUUUAGUCACACGAGCCGACCUUUAUUCUUUGCCUAUUCUAUCCUCACGGCAGGUGGAGAGCAAGAGGGAGAAUGAAAUAGUUCAAUUACUUUUUUUUCAAACAUUUUAUUUUUUAUUUUACUCUUAGUAGUUUAGUUAUACUAAGAAAUGACAAACUAACUAUUAUUAUUACUGUUACAGCUUACAAUACCUAUGUGGAAGUAUUUAAUAAUAUUUGUAUAAAAUAAAUUAUGAUGAUACAGGAAAAAAAUUUGUCUUUUUUUUAUACAACUUAGAAUGGCAAGCAAGCUGACUGCCCACCUGAUGGAAAGUUGUAACCGUCGCCUAUAGACAUGAGCAGUACCAUGGACAUAACAGAGUAUACUGUUUAGCCCAUGAUACCCUCCAUGCGUUGCCAUUCCUGAGGACUCGGGUGUUAUUCCUCUGUACCCAGUAAAUUCUAUGAGUUUUAAAACAAUUUUAUGUAAUUCUCAUUGGUACAAAAACAAAAAAAAGCUCCGUCGAAUUAAAGCCGCUAGCGACCUCUAGUUGUUUAUAAACAGUUGUUGUUUAUUAUAUUAUCUAUCGGUGUAAAUUCCACCCUUAUCCUUCAAUGUCCGAAAAGCCAUGUAACAAGGCCAGCGAAGGACUUAAUUAAUUUAAGGCAUAUUUUCCCCUCGUUGUUCUGUAAUCGACUCACUGCUCAAGAGGUUUGUGGCGAGUUCCAAGUGUUAUUCUCAAUGUGAUAGGGAUGUUCAGCUAUGGAAUAAUUGAUCGAUAAAUAUUAUAUUUUUUAUUACACAAGAUUAGUUUUACCUAUAACUUUAAUCGCUUGACCAUUUGUUGAUAUUUAAUAUUGACCAAUAAUGUCAAUAUUCUUAUUUUAAAAGUAAUAAAUUUUACUGAUGAACGACAACAAAUUUAGUAGAUACAUUAAUUUAAAAAUAUCUAAAUUUUGAACUUGGUAUUGUGUUUACACAUAAUUUUAUGUGCAAAAAGAAAAAAAAACGCCAGUUUAUAUUAUUAUUACAAAGUUACUAUUGGUUGAACUAAAAUGGGAGUAAACGUAAUAAAUAAAUAAAAAAAAAAUUAUAAUUGAAAAAUUUCUCCCAACAAAAUAUUUUUACUUAAUACGAGUAUUGUCGAAUAUCAAAAUAAUAAUUUCAUCCACCACUAGUCUAUAUAUAGGUAAAUAAACUGAUCCUCGUCAAGAAGUUUAAGGGCAUCUCGGGAUCGGUCAUUUUCAUACAACUGUCGACAGACCCCACCCGGCGACCCUUCGUGAAGGAUUUGCUUUGAAAAUAUCGAUGUGAUAAUUUAUAGUUACAUUGGCAACCCUCAGUAAACUUAUUUGGCUUCUUCUACUCGUAUUUCUUUGAUGAGUUCAAAAUAAAUUUAACAUUUAAUAUAAUUGUUAUAUUUUAUUAAAAGAGAAAGCUAGUUUUUUAUAUACUCAAGGGUUGAGACACAUUGACUCGAAUAAAAUCAAAAUUGAUCAAGUUGAACAAAACUGCGUCAGUACACGGCUUACUGAAUAGUGUAGGUAUCGUUUUCAUUUUUCUUUUCUAUACUGGUACGAGAUAACUACGAUACGACGAUGUAGCCGUCGACUCGCCUGUAAGAAAUGAUAAUAGGAUCAAAUAAUAGUAUAAAUAUAUUCUAAGCAUUUCGAAUUCGGUAAUGUGCAAGUUGAGCAUUUUUUACCCUAUAAUUCAGUAACAUUUUAACAACAUUUGACUCGGUAACGUAAACUUCUUUCAAACUUAUAAUCCUGUAAAUUAUGUUUUUAUUAGCACAUAACUUGGAGAUAGCUAGUCCCUGUUUGUGUGGUUGAUACGUUUUAGGUUAUAGGACCGUAGUUUAUUGUUUAAGGUAUUUGUGUGUUUAAAUUUUGUUCCAUGGAAUGCUAUUAACAGUCGAAACUGCAACUAAAGCGAGAGUCAAGUGGGAGCUCACAAAAGGCCGGGGCCUUUUCGUAGUGCGGAGUUUUUAGACCAUAAGAAACGCUGCUGUAUGGAUUUGUACAAUAUUGUACAUUUGUGUUUGUUUUUGCAUAGUAUUAUCUGUGGUUUUUGUAGCAAUACUUGCAUGACUGUAUUUUGGAUUUUAAAGAAGAGAAGAUUAUUAGACGCAUGAUAUGUCACACUGUAUUCUGUGUACAAUGUAUAUUCCGUUGAAAUUCAUAGUGUCAUUUAUGUCCAAAUUGUUUAAUAUCAUUUAUCAGGUGAUUUCUCAGCUUGUU